AUUGAACGCUGGCGGCAUGCCUUACACAUGCAAGUCGAACGGCAGCACGGAGCUUGCUCUGGUGGCGAGUGGCGAACGGGUGAGUAAUAUAUCGGAACGUACCCUAGAGUGGGGGAUAACGUAGCGAAAGUUACGCUAAUACCGCAUACGAUCUAAGGAUGAAAGUGGGGGAUCGCAAGACCUCAUGCUCGUGGAGCGGCCGAUAUCUGAUUAGCUAGUUGGUAGGGUAAAAGCCUACCAAGGCAUCGAUCAGUAGCUGGUCUGAGAGGACGACCAGCCACACUGGAACUGAGACACGGUCCAGACUCCUACGGGAGGCAGCAGUGGGGAAUUUUGGACAAUGGGCGAAAGCCUGAUCCAGCAAUGCCGCGUGAGUGAAGAAGGCCUUCGGGUUGCAAAGCUCUUUUGUCAGGGAAGAAACGGUGAAAGCUAAUAUCUUUUGCUAAUGACGGUACCUGAAGAAUAAGCACCGGCUAACUACGUGCCGGCAGCCGCGGUAAUACGUAGGGUGCAAGCGUUAAUCGGAAUUACUGGGCGUAAAGCGUGCGCAGGCGGUUUUGUAAGUCUGAUGUGAAAUCCCCGGGCUCAACCUGGGAAUUGCAUUGGAGACUGCAAGGCUAGAAUCUGGCAGAGGGGGGUAGAAUUCCACGUGUAGCAGUGAAAUGCGUAGAUAUGUGGAGGAACACCGAUGGCGAAGGCAGCCCCCUGGGUCAAGAUUGACGCUCAUGCACGAAAGCGUGGGGAGCAAACAGGAUUAGAUACCCUGGUAGUCCACGCCCUAAACGAUGUCUACUAGUUGUCGGGUCUUAAUUGACUUGGUAACGCAGCUAACGCGUGAAGUAGACCGCCUGGGGAGUACGGUCGCAAGAUUAAAACUCAAAGGAAUUGACGGGGACCCGCACAAGCGGUGGAUGAUGUGGAUUAAUUCGAUGCAACGCGAAAAACCUUACCUACCCUUGACAUGGCUGGAAUCCUUGAGAGAUCAGGGAGUGCUCGAAAGAGAACCAGUACACAGGUGCUGCAUGGCUGUCGUCAGCUCGUGUCGUGAGAUGUUGGGUUAAGUCCCGCAACGAGCGCAACCCUUGUCAUUAGUUGCUACGAAAGGGCACUCUAAUGAGACUGCCGGUGACAAACCGGAGGAAGGUGGGGAUGACGUCAAGUCCUCAUGGCCCUUAUGGGUAGGGCUUCACACGUCAUACAAUGGUACAUACAGAGCGCCGCCAACCCGCGAGGGGGAGCUAAUCGCAGAAAGUGUAUCGUAGUCCGGAUUGUAGUCUGCAACUCGACUGCAUGAAGUUGGAAUCGCUAGUAAUCGCGGAUCAGCAUGUCGCGGUGAAUACGUUCCCGGGUCU
rnacentral:rRNA from 1 species